GGAAACUUCAGUACGCGACCAGCCACCGACGUGUGUUUACGGUCGGAGCUCCAGCGGAAGCUGUGAGGGCUGUCUGUCUGUCUGUCUAUUUCCCUUCUAUCUCUUCUAAAUCUUUAUUUUUCUCAUCGAGAUUAUUCGAAACUUCUUGAAUAAGAACGCGAGGAACGCGCCGCCUUUACGGGACUUUGUUCGAUGGUGGUAGUGUGCUCUUGGUGGUGGUGAUGGUGGUGCUGGUUUGCGGUAUAACGCUUAACCGAUGUUGCAGCAACAGAAGCAGUCCGAGGAUCGGAUCGAUGAUGUUCCAGAAAAUUUUCUAAAUGAAUAAAAUUUAGUGAGGGGGGAAAGUUUCGAGAAUGCGUUGAAUCAAGCCAUCGUCGUAGACGAACUUGGGUUAUGGGAAUGGAUUCGACCUUGUUGCUACUCCUUCUAGUCGGUAAGUAUAUAUAUAGAUACUAAAUAUA